UCUCGAUUGGUCUAGUGGUUAGGAUACCUGCUUGUCAAUAUUCCGAUAUAGCAAGCCGCAGGUGGCCGGGGUUCGAUUCCCCGAUCGAGAG